GGAUUUCAUCAUCUUGCAUUUCCACUCACCAGAAAUACCAAAAAUAAGGAGACAUGGGGUAGACAUAAGAGUAUAACAGGAAAACUAACUGGGAAUAAACACAAGCUCAAAACUAAAAGAAAGGUUGGGCAUAACUUCACUGCAGGAGGGCAGGAGAGCAAAGCAAGGGGAGAAAAAAAAGGAAAAACAAGCAAAACUACUUUUAGAAUGGAAGUUUGCCCAUGUAAUGAAAGGGAUUACAUCAUGUUUGUCUGCAGUAGUGAAGGGCUGAACUCAGUGACCUCAGAUAUCCCUUCCAGCUCCUCAGGCUCACAGAUAUCAUUUCACUGAGCACAAAAGAAACACCUGACCCUGCUUCCUUCUGCCACAGACCCAAACAAUGCUGCUGUCUGUGGGCAGGAGCAGUUUAUAUACUGAGGGCUUUUCUUAGGGUUUAUCCCUGCACCUUAACAUCUGGAUUUGGACAGAAUUUAGAGACUUUAAUUCCAGAAGUGCCAAAUAGAGCACAGCCUAACCACCAUCAUUGCCUGAUCUCCGAGGGGCCCUGGUGAGUCUCCCACCUAAACCCUCCUGCAACCCAAAUUUUGGCCAGUUCCUACACAGAAUUUGAAAGAUCACUGGAAGGGCACUCUCAGAAAACACUGACAAAUGCUAACAGAAACACAGUGAUGGGGUGAAAUCUCUGCCCAUCUCUUUCACAGCAGAUUGGGCACCCCACAGGAAGCAGCAAAAGGGCGCUACAGGCUCUGCUCAGCCCUGUACCACUGACUGUUUCUCAAUAAAGCGUGGGCCCAGGUCAGUUUAGUGCCUAACAGAAGUUCCUCCAGGGCCAAGAUCCCAAAGGGAUCCAGGGCAGCCCUGAGAGGAUGGCUGGGAGUUCAAGGAGAGGAAUGGAGGGGAGUGAAGGCAAAUACAGCAUUUAGCACUUCUACAUCCCCCAAAACCCCCUUUCUCUAGGAAAGCAGACUGGCUUUGUGACUUGCUCUCUGCAUGUGAAGCCCAAAUAUCCAAACAAGAUGACCUGGUUGGAUUUUCAGCAGUGACUAAUGGUGGCCUAAAGCAGGUGGUCGUUGUUCUGAGCUCAGUUCCUUACCCAGCCUCCCUGGUCUGAGGUGACUUGCAAUUAGCAGCGCUGUGACUAACUGGUUAAUAAUAGUUUCAGGUUGUGCUGGAUGGAUUUUACAAGUAUUUCAAAAUGCCACUGAGCUUUACAGUGCACUGCUUUCCCCUGCAGAUGGAAGGAACAGCCUCCACCAGCCCUGUGUACCAGGAAACAAAACCAAGAGUAGAAGUUGCAGUUGCUGGGUGUUUUCUCUCUGCACCUCAAUGGUGGAAGAAGGAACAAAACCAGGCACUAUCCCCCUGUGAUUCCAGAGGCUGCAGCCAUCAUCCUGUCCCAUAUCCUUGGGGAAGUCCAGACUGAAAAGACUGAGCAGUGCUGAGAUGCUUGAAAAAUUAUUUGGGUUGUGGCAUGUAACAAACAUCUAUUCAUUAAAGCCUUGCAAUUGUGACCCAGCCCUUCAUCUUGCACAAGAUCUAUAAAAAAGGCUGAGUGACUAUAAAUGUGUCCCUUGGAGCAAAUUAUGGAAGACAUUAUAGGAAGACUGGUUUCUAGCCAGCUUUUCCAGCUUAAUGAAUUCCUUUCAAGGAUGUGUGAAAGCUCCAUUGAGACCAAUGGUGAGUAUCCUUGAACUCCUCCAGGAAGAUUUUAUAAGGGGUCUCAACUAUUGUAUUCUUAUUUUUCUUCUAUUUUCAGAGAGCAGUUAGAAAAUUAUUUGAAAUGGUAAAGCUCCAGUUCAAGCACUUUUCACUGUGAGGACUGACCUGACUGAUCCAUGAGGAAUCAGGAAAAGGCUCUUGGGCAGAUCAGUUUUAUCAUGGUAUCAAUAACCAGGAAAACUACUGGAAUUUGUGUGCUGACCACUCUGGAAGAGAUAAAAAUGCUUUCCUGCACCUUCCAUGCUAAAACCUCACUCAUUUAAUUAAUGUGCAGAUCUGGAUUUCCAGUGUGUUCCUACAGACAUCAGCUAUACAUGGACCUAGAAUGGGAAUAUUGAGAGUCAGGGAAGACUUUGCUCAGAUCUAAUACCUGUAGGUACAUUUAAUUUCUGAUAUUUCCUGCAGCAAAAGGACUUUCAUCCACACAUUUAUUAUGUUAUCAGCUGACUUCACAUAUUUUCUGUUUCUCCAUUAACAGAGUGAGGAAGAUAAUGAUCUGCAGUGUUUCUCUCUCUAGAGACUGGUUUGCUCUUUCAGACUCUGUGCCUUCAAUCACUCCUGCCCAAGAUGUUGGGAUGAGUGGGGGAGGUGAGGGAGAGAAAUUAUGAGUUAUAUGGAGAAAGCCUACAAAGGACAGUCAAUGGAAAAAAGAGGGAUGUUUCAUCUGGGGAGGAAAAGGCACAGAACAAUGGGGGAAAGAUGGUAAAGAAACAGAGCAGGGCAUAAUAUGCAGGCAGAAAAGAUGGGAGGUGAAUAAAUGGAAUAAAAAAAAAAAGGUGUGAAGUUUUA